rnacentral:rRNA from 1 species
UACAGAGGGUGCAAACGUUGCUCGGAAUGAUUGGGCGUAAAGCGCGAGCAGGCGGUUAGGUAUGCCGGUUGUGAAAGCCCGUGGCUCAACCACGGAAGUGCAGUCGGAACUGCCAAACUAGAGUGUCGGAGAGGAUGGCGGAAUGCCCAGUGUAGAGGUGAAAUUCGUAGAUAUUGGGUAGAACACCGGUGGCGAAGGCGGCCAUCUGGACGAUAACUGACGCUGAGACGCGAAAGCGUGGGGAGCAAACAGG